rnacentral:rRNA from 1 species
CAACAGGGAUUGCCUUAGUAACGGCGAGUGAAGCGGCAGCAGCUCAAAUUUGAAAUCUGGCUCCUUCGGGGCCCGAGUUGUAAUUUGUAGAGGAUGCUUCGGCGUGGUCCCAGGUCUAAGUUCCUUGGAACAGGACGUCACAGAGGGUGAGAAUCCCGUACGUGGCCGUGGGUACCCGCCAUGUGAAGCUCCUUCGACGAGUCGAGUUGUUUGGGAAUGCAGCUCUAAAUGGGAGGUAAAUUUCUUCUAAAGCUAAAUACUGGCCAGAGACCGAUAGCGCACAAGUAGAGUGAUCGAAAGAUGAAAAGCACUUUGGAAAGAGAGUCAAAAAGUACGUGAAAUUGUUGAAAGGGAAGCGCUUGCAACCAGACCUGCCUGCGGUUGCUCAUCCGGGCUCUUGCCCGGUGCACUCUUCCGCAGUCAGGCCAGCAUCAGUUCUGGCGGUCGGAUAAAGGCGGCGGGAAUGUGGCUCCCCUCGGGGAGUGUUAUAGCCCGUCGUGUAAUGCGGCCAGCCGGGACUGAGGUCCGCGCUUCGGCUAGGAUGCUGGCGUAAUGGUUGUAAGCGGCCCGUCUUGAAACACGGACCAAGGAGUCUAACAUCUGUGCGAGUGUUUGGGUGUCAAGCCCAGGCGCGUAAUGAAAGUGAACGGAGGCGGGAACCUUCGGGUGCACCGUCGACCGAUCCUGAUGUCUUCGGAUGGAUUUGAGUAAGAGCAUAGCUGUUGGGACCCGAAAGAUGGUGAACUAUGCCUGAAUAGGGUGAAGCCAGAGGAAACUCUGGUGGAGGCUCGCAGCGGUUCUGACGUGCAAAUCGAUCGUCAAAUUUGGGCAUAGGGGCGAAAGACUAAUCGAACUUUCUAG